rnacentral:misc_RNA from 1 species
GUUCUAUGAAUAUAUAUAUAACUUGCUCUUUUUCAAUGGGACUAGAUUUUUAUCUGCUGGAAGGUGAAGGGGGGACAAAAAAUAGGACGGCACCAAUUGGACAGGAUUAUAUUGUUUUCUCCUGUCAUUUUCAAUCCAUUGAUCCAAAAAAAUGCUGUUAGGUUUCACAAUCAAUUUGUUGCUUUUAAUUUCAAGUAUUUGUUCAAUGGGUUUAUAGUUGCAGAUUCAUACAGGGAAUACUAUGACUUGAAAAUCAAAUUUCUUUUGCUUGUCUUUCCUUCUUCCUAGGUGGGGGUUGCUGAACUUAAAG